AGAAUGAACGCUGGCGGCAUGCCUAACACAUGCAAGUCGAACGAAGCCUUCGGGUUUAGUGGCGCACGGGUGCGUAACGCGUGGGAAUCUACCCCUUGGUUCGGAAUAACAGUUGGAAACGACUGCUAAUACCGGAUGAUGACGUAAGUCCAAAGAUUUAUCGCCGAGGGAUGAGCCCGCGUAGGAUUAGGUAGUUGGUGUGGUAAAGGCGCACCAAGCCGACGAUCCUUAGCUGGUCUGAGAGGAUGAUCAGCCACACUGGGACUGAGACACGGCCCAGACUCCUACGGGAGGCAGCAGUGGGGAAUCUUGCGCAAUGGCCGAAAGGCUGACGCAGCGACGCCGCGUGGGGGAGGAAGGCCUUCGGGUUGUAAACCCCUGUUGCCGGGACGAAUGUGCACUUUAGAGUGCAUUGACGGUACCGGGUGAGGAAGCACCGGCUAACUCCGUGCCAGCAGCCGC
rnacentral:rRNA from 1 species